rnacentral:rRNA from 1 species
UGGGGAAUAUUGGACAAUGGGCGCAAGCCUGAUCCAGCCAUGCCGCGUGAACGAUGAAGGCCUUAGGGUUGUAAAGUUCUUUUGUCAGGGAAGAUAAUGACGGUACCUGAAGAAUAAGCACCGGCUAACUUCGUGCCAGCAGCCGCGGUAAUACGAAGGGUGCUAGCGUUGUUCGGAAUCACUGGGCGUAAAGCGCGCGUAGGCGGCUUUGCAAGUCAGAGGUGAAAGCCUGGAGCUUAACUCCAGAACUGCCUUUGAAACUGCUAAGCUAGAGUACUGGAGGGGAAUGGGGAAUUCCUAAUGUAGAGGUGAAAUUCGUAGAUAUUAGGAGGAACACCGGUGGCGAAGGCGCCAUUCUGGACAGUAACUGACGCUGAGGCGCGAAAGCGUGGGGAUCAAA